rnacentral:rasiRNA from 1 species
AAGAUACCACUUCGUUCUGGUCCCGC